rnacentral:rRNA from 1 species
GACGAACGCUGGCGGCGUGCUUAACACAUGCAAGUCGAACGAGAGCGUAGAGAAAGCUUGCUUUUUCUACAAUCUAGUGGCAAACGGGUGAGUAACGCGUAAACAACCUGCCCUACGGAUGGGGACAACAGCUGGAAACGGCUGCUAAUACCGAAUACGUUCCGAAAGUCGCAUGACUAUCGGAAGAAAGGAUGGCCUCUAUUUAUAAGCUAUCGCCGGAGGAGGGGUUUGCGUCUGAUUAGCUAGUUGGAGGGGUAACGGCCCACCAGGGCGACGAUCAGUAGCCGGUCUGAGAGGAUGAACGGCCACAUUGGAACUGAGACACGGUCCAGACUCCUACGGGAGGCAGCAGUGGGGAAUCUUCCGCAAUGGGCGAAAGCCUGACGGAGCAACGCCGCGUGAGUGAAGACGGCCUUCGGGUUGUAAAGCUCUGUUAUACGGGACGAAUAAUCUUGUGGUUAAUACCCAUGAGAAGUGACGGUACCGUAAGAGAAAGCCACGGCUAACUACGUG